GGGAGCAGUUUCUCCCCUCUCCCCAGGAGACAUUUACCAAUGUCUGGAGACAGUCUGGUUGUCCUAACCGGGUGGGGGAGGGUGCUCCUGGAAUCUACUGAGUAGGGGCCCCAGAUGCUGCUAAACGCCCAGGAAUGCACAGGACAGCCGCCCACAACAAAGAAUUAUGCAGCCGAAAAUAUCAACAGUGCCAAGGUUGAAAAAGUCUGCUCCACUCGAAUCUAUUGCCUAGACGCAGAGUGCACCAUCUGGAAAUAGACAAGAAAUCCCCUCCAGCAGGCGAUGACGUGGCAGAGGAGCAGGUCAGAGGCAGAGGAAGUGAAAGCUCCUAGCAAACAGCUGAGCUGGAUGAGCUGGCAGGGCCAGCAUGGGGCUGAGUAACUGGGACCAGGACAGCAGCGUGAGAAGCAGGCAUCUGAGGCCAUUCUCCCCAGCUGGGGGCCUCUGAUACCUUCUGACUCAAUCCCCAACCCUCAACCCUCAUGUCCACUUCCAGCCUCAACCCCAACCCCAAUCUUAACAAGAACCUUCAACUUCCACUAAGCCCAAAGCCUCAUUGAAGGCUGCAUCCAUGCACCCUGGUCCCUGUGCCCACUGGAGCCCCACUGCCCUUGGGCAGGACCAGAAAGGGGCUCGGAGGUGGCGAGACAGCAGCACCACUCUCCCCAGCCCUUCUCCUCUUGUCUCCACUGGGAAGGAGUUGGUGAGACGAGCAGGACUUCUCUCUGCCACGGGAGCAUCAUCUCUGUGUCUCUCCAGCCUCACAAGCCUGGAUCUGCCCUCACCAUCACAGGGGCUCUCGUGAUAAGCAGGAGACUUCACGUUCUCAGACUUUAGGCUUCUUCUAGUUCCUUGAAAAGGAUCCCAAGAGUCUGAGGAAGGGAGGGAGGUAGGAGUGGGGCAGAAUCCUCUCAUCCCAUCAGAGGUUUCAAUUCAGAACACCCCAG
rnacentral:lncRNA from 10 species